rnacentral:rRNA from 1 species
CGGACGGGUGAGUAACGCGUGGACGACGCGUCUCAAGGGAGGGACAUAGUAGAAGACUGCUAAUACCGCAUAAGCCCACGGCUCGGCAUCGAGCAGAGGGAAAAGGAGCAAUCCGCUUUGAGAUGGCCUCGCGUCCGAUUAGCUAGUUGGUGAGGUAACGGCCCACCAAGGCGACGAUCGGUAGCCGGACUGGGAGGUUGAACGGCCACAUUGGGACUGAGACACGGCCCAG